rnacentral:rRNA from 1 species
UACGAAGGGGGCUAGCGUUGUUCGGAAUCACUGGGCGUAAAGGGCGCGUAGGCGGAUCUUUAAGUCGGGGGUGAAAGCCUGAGGCUCAACCUCAGAAUUGCCUUCGAUACUGGAGAUCUUGAGACCGGAAGAGGUAAGUGGAACUGCGAGUGUAGAGGUGAAAUUCGUAGAUAUUCGCAAGAACACCAGUGGCGAAGGCGGCUUACUGGUCCGGUUCUGACGCUGAGGCGCGAAAGCGUGGGGAGCAAACGGG